rnacentral:rRNA from 1 species
CGAAAUAUUAACUGUUUCAUUUAAAUUUUUAUAGAAUUUUAUUUUUUAGUCAAAAAGCUAAAAUUAAUUUAAAAGACGAGAAGACCCUAUAAAUCUUUAUAUUUUGUUUAUUUUAAUUAUAAAGAUUAUUUUUAUUAUAAUAAAUUAAAAUAUUUUAUUGGGGGGAUAUUAAAAUUUAAAAAACUUUUAAUUCUUAAAACCAUUAAUUUAUGAAUAAUUGAUCCAUUAAUAAUGAUUAAAAAUUUAAGUUACUUUAGGGAUAACAGCGUAAUUUUUUUGGAGAGUUCAUAUCGAUAAAAAAGAUUGCG